AUUGAGCGCUGGCGGCAGGCCUAACACAUGCAAGUCGAACGGUAGCACAGAGAGCUUGCUCUCGGGUGACGAGUGGCGGACGGGUGAGUAACGUCUGGGAAACUGCCCGAUGGAGGGGGAUAACUACUGGAAACGGUAGCUAAUACCGCAUAACGUCACAAGACCAAAGGGGGGGACCGUCGGGCCUCACACCAUCGGAUGUGCCCAGAUGGGAUGAGCUAGUAGGGGGGGUAAUGGCUCACUAAGGCGACGAUCCCUAGCAGGUCUGAGAGGAUGACCAGCCACACUGGAACUGAGACACGGUCCAGACUCCUACGGGAGGCAGCAGUGGGGAAUAUUGCACAAUGGGCGCAAGCCUGAUGCAGCCAUGCCGCGUGUAUGAAGAAGGCCUUCGGGUUGUAAAGUACUUUCAGCGGGGAGGAAGGCGGUGAAGUUAAUAACUUCACCGAUUGACGUUACCCGCAGAAGAAGCACCGGCUAACUCCGUGCCAGCCGCCGCCGUAA
rnacentral:rRNA from 1 species